CAGGCUUAGAAUCCCGUAACUUCUUUCUGAUCCCAGGGCCCAUGGUGUCUCUGAAGCUAUUGCGUAGUUACUCCAGCUUACUUUUCUACUGCUGCCAAAGUAACUAGGGGCCAGGAAGAGAGUUCUAUGUAGAAUUCUGAGUGACUUGCUCAUUCUAUUUGAUUAUCUGUGUGUGUGUAUGUGCACUCUUCUUGAUUUGAAAACAAACCUCCAGUCCUCUGUUUGAAUUUAAGCAGCAAUAAACCAAUGACAAUAAUUCCACUCACAUUUGUCUAGAACUCUCCAUUAAGAGGAGGACUGUGGAAGAAAGUCCAACAAAAGGGACUGAAAAGGGACAAUCAGACUGAAGGUGGAAACCAGAAGUGCUGCCAGGCAAGAAGAGAGGUAUUUUACUCUCCUCUGCACUAAAGGAUAUCCUUGUAGAAAUUAAUCACGUCCAAGAACCCGCGGACAAAAUCGCUGGAGUUUCCAUCUCUUGGCUAGAGAACGUCCCUACAAGAAAAAGCUGACCCUUGACACCGCCAGAAACUUUCCCCAGACUUGGCCUUCAUUUGUAGGAGUCGCCCCUCUGAGGACGCCCCCCGCGAGUCCCAGAGGUUUUGUAACACUCAAGAAGUACAUGAAAGAGGCCUCUUUCAUCAAGUAUUCUUAAGUUAUGAAAAUGGAAUUGAAGCAUAUUUUCCCCCUUCGUAUGAGAGAGAACUUACGUGAAAUCAAGUAUUCGCGAUUUUUCAGAACUGCAUAUGGAGAAGUUGCUGAAAUUCAAUCUUGCUUCCAGAUAAAGUCAGCACAGCAUUACCCAGUUAUUAUGUAGCAUUUCCAUGCAAACUAAUAAAUAGUAUUUCAACUUAAAAUUUCGGUUUUUAAUCUAGAUGUAACUUAAAAACUCUUACAAGUAAAAACUCUUAGAAGUAAGCAUUCUUGUCCAUCAGAAGUUUGUACAGAAAAAGCAAAUUCAAAGGGACAAAUAUGGGCAGUGCCUUCCAGCACUGACAGGGGGAAAAGAUCCUGGCUCAAGAACACAGGUCUCUAGGCAAUGAAGCAAGUGUAUCCCUCAAGAGAGAAGAAUGCAUUAAGUUGUCAUGGCUUUGAAACAUCAGCCAUUUACACCUCCCAACUUAUUCCCCUGGUUCUGAACCCAGAUUCACUUGGUAACCAUUCCAUUGCUUAUAAUUCUUCUUUGCAUAUACUUGUAUCUGUAUCUACAUCUAUACCUACAGGGACAAAAUACAGCAGUCAAUAUAACUCAUUAGCUUGAUGGAUGUAUUUCUUAUUGUAAACUAAUAUAUUGGCAUUCUGAGAUAAAAAAGCUUUUUUAUUCAUGUGAAUAUUGUCAGUGAGAUCAUUUUAAAGUCACAUAACUCUCAGCCACACAUACGGAGGUAGAAGUUCCGUUUCUGGAACAUGAGACUAGAAAUUGUCAUUUGUCAUCCCUUUUUGCUUAUAAAAUACAGCCACUCCCAUACCUGCUACCACAAUGCCUUCCCCACCCCAUGGGAAAGGGAAGUAACACUUGUAAGAAAUGACAAGAGGUCUAACGUUGUCAGAGAAAUAAAGCUACUUGGGAAGGUUCACCCAGCCAGUAAGUAAUAGAGGUGAGAGUAACACUCAGGUCUGACAGAUGUCCUUUCAACUAAACUUGUGUCUUUACUUAGAUUCUACUGCUGGCAACAUGGGCCCUGACUAGGGGAAGCGAAUAAAAGUUCCCUGGUUGCUAGAGAAUACACACGCGUCCUGUUGUCUAUUUCUUCUAAGCAAGUCUAAACCUAUAUGUUGCCCAAGAAAUGGGUAUUCUGUAACUGGCACUCCUACCUCUGGUGGUCAUGUGAAGAAACCUUGUUUGAUCAUUUAGCUAUAUGUGUAUUUUGGAGUCCGAUUUUAAAAUGACUAGCAACACAAAGACAUCUGUUCAUAGUGAACUUAAGAAUUCAUUGUAUGCUCCUUAUCAGGCAAUUGGAAAAGCAAAGAGAAACGAUAGUUAUUUUACCAAGCAGAUUCAUGGUUGUCUUUCAUUGUCUAUUCAGAUCUCUUUAUUCGAUCUGGCUAUAUAAUGAGUUAUGAGCCCAGUUCCCAUG
rnacentral:lncRNA from 1 species